GACAGAGGUGCCGAGCGUUAGGCGGAAUCACUGGGCUUAAAGCGUGUGUAGGCGGAUCGUUAAGUACCUUGUGAAAUCCCACGGCUUAACCGUGGAACCGCUGGGUAUACUGGCGAUCUUGAGGUGCUCAGGGGCGAGCGGAACAGAUGGUGGAGCGGUGAAAUGCGUAGAUAUCAUCUGGAACGCCUGUGGUGAAGACGGGUCGCUGGGAAUAUUCUGACGCUGAGACACGAAAGCCAGGGGAGCAAACGGG
rnacentral:rRNA from 1 species